UACGUAGGUGGCAAGCGUUAUCCGGAAUUAUUGGGCGUAAAGAGCGCGCAGGUGGUUGAUUAAGUCUGAUGUGAAAGCCCACGGCUUAACCGUGGAGGGUCAUUGGAAACUGGUUGACUUGAGUGCAGGAGAGGGAAGUGGAAUUCCAUGUGUAGCGGUGAAAUGCGUAGAGAUAUGGAGGAACACCAGUGGCGAAGGCGGCUUCCUGGUCUGUAACUGACACUGAGGCGCGAAAGCGUGGGGAGCAAACAGG
rnacentral:rRNA from 1 species